rnacentral:rRNA from 1 species
GACGAACGCUGGCGGCGGGCUUAACACAUGCAAGUCGAACGGAAGGACCCUGCUUGUUUGGUGUGCUCGAUUGGCGAACGGGUGAGGGACACGAGAGUAACGUGCUCUUGUCUUUGGGAGGACUUCAGGAAAGGGGAGUUAAGAUCAUAUAGCAUCUGCCGUUGCAGUGUGAGGGGGGGAAAUUUUCGGCUGUUGGGGAUGGAUGCGCGGCUUAUGAGCUAGUUGGUGGGCUAGUGGCUUACCAAGGCUUUGACGGGUAGCCGGCAGGAGAGGGUGACCGGCCACAUUGGGACUGAGAUACGGCCCAGACUCCUACGGGAGGCAGCAGUGGGGAAUAUUGCACAAUGGGACGACGCCUGAUGCAGCAACGCCGCGUGCGGGAUGACGGCCUUCGGGUUGUAAACAGCUUUCGCCUGUGACGAAGCGUGAGUGACGGUAAUGGGUAAAGAAGCACCGGCUAACUACGUG